CCACCCACGCCCCUCCCAGUUGACCUCGGAUCAGGGUAGGGGAUACCCCGCUUGAACUUAAGGCAUAUCA
rnacentral:rRNA from 1 species